GUCUCUUUGUUGUAAUUAUAUAAAGAGUCGGGCCUGCUCGGUGAAAUAAUUUUAACAGCUGCGGUAUUUUAACUGUACUAAGGUAGCAUAAUAAUUUGCCUUAUAAUUUGAGGCUAGAAUGAAUGGUUUGACGAAGGUUAAUCUGUCUCUAUUUUAUUUUUUAGAAUUUAAUUUUUAUGUGAAAAAGCUUAAAUUUUUUAAAGGGACGAGAAGACCCUAUUGAGCUUAUAAUUUUAUUUAUUUUUGAUAAUAUUAUAAAGAAUAAUAUGAAUUUUGAUUGGGGUGAUCAAGGAAUAAUAAUUAUAUAAUAACUUCCUUAUACUUAUUAAUUGGUAAAUUAAUUAACCAAUAUUAUUGAUUAUAAUUAAGUUACCAUAGGGAUAACAGCGUAAUUUAUUUUGAGAGUUCUUAUCGAAAAAUAAGAUUGCGACCUCGAUGUUGGAUUAAAGUAACCUUAGGGUGUAGAAGUUCUAGAAGGUAAAUCUGUUCGAUUUUUAAAAUUUUACA
rnacentral:rRNA from 3 species